ensembl:lncRNA
CAGAAGUAUGUGCAUAGCAUAAUCCACUAUAGUUAUCAUUGAGCAUUCAGAAAAAGCCUCAAGAAUAUCCCAGAGCACUGCUAAGGUUAAUUGACUGCUUGAAGGCGUCAGUACACACUCCAGAAAAUAAUAAUUUUUGGACUGAAAUCGACAGUUCUGCAUUCACUGUCUGUGACUCUCAGAUAAGCACUGUCCUGUCUUGAAGCUGAAUUUGUCCUGUCUUGAAGCCGAAUUAUCUGAGGUAGCUGAAUGAUGCAGAACUGGUGAAGGUGGGUGUUUACAGCAGGUCUCUCUGGGACUAACCCAUUGCUUAAGACACCUUAAAGCAAGGUACUAGGGGAGGGUCUGUACUAUGCCAAACUGCAAUAACCGAUAUUUUUGGCAGCAGGCAGAUUCCAUACCUUUCCUGUCACUGUAGACAGACAGAGCAGUCACAGGUAGUCAUGGUUAUAUCAAAAUACUAAAUAUCCAAAGAUGUUAUAUUCAGGUAGGGCUCAGAGAUGUAGUUGACAAAAAAAUAAAUAAAUGAACAUCCAGAAUAUUAUUGUGCUGUAAAUCAACUGCCAUCACUGUGCAGAGCCAGCUGAGUUCUGAUGCAUGAUGCAUCGGUAUGUUCUGUACCACGCGUGCUGCUGUGUUGGACACCUAGGGGCACAUCUGUGGUAGUAAUUUGUUACCUGAGUCUCGUAACAGGAGGAUGAGGUUAAGCUUAAGUAUAAGGGGAAGACAUGAAGGAAUCAGAAGAUACCAGCCUGAAUCUUUCAAGCCGGUAGUUACUGAGAUGGUUUGCAGCCUCAAGUGUUGCCUGAAGUCUCUGCUCUGAAAGUCGUUGCUGUUGUGAUUACUGUUCUAUAUGAACAGCUGGAUACAUAUCUGAACAGUAUGUUCAGCUGAGGCUCUCACUGAAAAGCCAGCACUGGCAAGGCUCACCAGCUCCAGCAAUGACGUACUCUCCAGCAGGCUGGCAGAUGUGUGCGUAUGUGUGUGCGUCUAUCUCUGUAUAAAUAACAGCCGUGUAGGUGAGGCUGUCUGUCUGAACACCUAAGAAUGUCUUUUGGCUGCAGGGUUUUCCUUGUUCCCAGUUCUUCAAAUGACCACAUUAAUCCUGUUCACAGCAAUCUCAGUACAAACUGUUUUCUGGGAGAGGAGAGUUAUUGGUUUUAGGACAAAUGCAUAUCAUUGAAGCAGGUGAGUACAUGUAGUGCAUUUCUUACUGUUGGAUGAUCAUUCUGUAUACUCCAUAUGCUUCAGCACUGUCUGUACAAACAGUAAAUCAAGUACUGAGAGCCUUCAGAGGGAUCUGUACCUUCUGAAGAGCUCUGGGACUUUUUCCAUCUCCACAGCUUACCCGGUGGUCUCUGCUGCAUCAUCCUCAGAACUGAACCCAGAGACCUUCAGCACCGUGGUGUGGAGUACUUGAGCAGAUACUGAUCAAAUGACCGGUGGUGCUUCCUUCCUGGGAACAGAUGUCUUCUCAAGAAUAUCUCUGUCUGGCAGACUAAUGCCUCAGUGCCUCCUUGCCAGCGAAACGAAACAACCUGUAGUUUAAGAAAACCUGUCAAAAUUACUUAGAUGAAUGGUUCAAGUAAUUAGUUUAAGGAGACUGGAUCAAUAACUGGUUAAAUGAACGGCUUGAUUCAAAAAAAGCCUCAGGUUUGGCCCCGUCUGAGAAAGUUUUAGCAGUUUGGCUGGGCUUGGUGAUGCUGUUCGUUCACUCUUGUAUGAGGUUGGUUGGUUGUGUUUGUUUGUUUUACCUCUGUUUGUUUUGCAUGGUUUUUCUUGUUCAGUAUAUGAGUAGAAAAACAGCAGCUGCAGAAGAAGAAAUUCUCCUCUUGAGCACGCUGCUUAAGGAUGUGGAUCAAGAGGCCAGCUGACCGUAGGGGAUUUAAGAGAGGGUAUUGAGAUUUUCUGUAGCACCUUGAACUCAACCAAUCCAUCAGUGCUCGGUAACUAUUUGAUCCACACGAAACAGCAAGUUAUAAUGCACAUCAAAGAGCCUGUCUGUACUGCUGCUCACUGCCGUUUCGUCCUUAGCUGUCAGGCCCUGCAGAGUGCUGAAGCAGCUCGCCUAAGGCUACAGAUAUAAUCUGUUACAGGGUUGUAAUUAGGAGCAUUAGCCUGCUGGUCAUUCUUUUGGUCUCUCUUAUCUUGUUUUUUUCCUGACUAAGAGCCCACCUGAGGCACUCUUCAGAAAAUUCAGGUCAAAUUUUUCAACUCCAGGAGUGUUAGUAUAUCUGGUCCCAGAUUCAGCAUUCCAAUCCAUCUCUUCUCAAACUGACACCACGCUAUGGCCAUUCAAGAACUGAGACACAAUAGAGGUUCUGAUAGUCCUCUCAUCUUAGCAAAUAUCCUUCUAAGUUCUUCACUGAAUAUUUUACAUUUCUGUUCAGUAUAUAUUGAAAGCCGUUACACAGCAAGAUAGGUAACUGCUCCUUUAGGUUAGUGUUCUC